UACGAAGGGGGCUAGCGUUGCUCGGAAUCACUGGGCGUAAAGCGCACGUAGGCGGGUUGUUAAGUCAGGGGUGAAAUCCUGGAGCUCAACUCCAGAACUGCCUUUGAUACUGGCAAUCUUUGAGUCCGGGAGAGGUGGGUGGAACUGCGAGUGUAGAGGUGAAAUUCGUAGAUAUUCGCAAGAACACCAGUGGCGAAGGCGGCUCACUGGCCCGGUACUGACACUCAGGGACGAAAGCGUGGGUAGCGAACCGG
rnacentral:rRNA from 1 species